rnacentral:lncRNA from 1 species
AAUCUGUGUUUUCAGUGACGCUUGAAGGUGAAACUCUCCCUUGUAACUAGAGAGUUACAGAUCCUUAGAGAGGCGCUUCAGUGGUUUCAUUCAGCGGUUACUGCAAAAGCUGUCCAGAUAAGAAUAUGGAAUGCUCACUCCACAACAUUGUUUGUGAAAAUCUUCAGAUUUAUUUUAUUGAACAAGGCUAUAAAAGUAUUUACAGAGGAGAGGGAAAGAGAGCACAGUGGAGAGAUGCCUUGGGAGAGAGCUGUUACUGGCCAUGGUGUCAUUCUUCUUCCACAGGGAGAAGCAGAUCCAAACUGAGAAGGGAGAAGAUGUGAUAGUUGAUAUCACAACAAGCUUGAGUUUUGAUUAAUAUCUUGGACAGGACAUUCUAUGUUCCAAAUAGAGAUUGUGUGUUACAAAGUGACUGCAGGACCAAAAAUGAGUAGCAAAUUCAUGAACCUCUUAGAUUUUUUUAAUUUAGGACAUGAUGAGAUUACUGCCAGUGACUCAACUUUUAAAAUACAAGGAAUAACUAAAUAAAUAAAGUAAAAUUGCACUUUUAAUUGUAUUUUGAAGACAUCAUGAGCUGUGAUUCAUUCACUUCAUCUCAUAGAACUUCUGCUGGUGAUAAUUAUAUUUAAUAUUGUUACAAUCACCCCUUCCUCUCAACUUGUUGUGAUGUAUGUCCCCCCAGCCUCCUUCUGAAAGGUGAGUUAACACAGCUUAUUAGGGUGUUACAUUAGAAUCACUGUUUUGGAAAAGCCAAGCAUGGUGUGGGCUUCUGGUGUCAGAUGUGAAUGUGAGAGAUGAACAGCCAAGCUCUGCAAAUGAAACACAGCCUCACUCAUCCCCCUUCCCUCACAUGCACCACCGCCCCAUCUUCAAAGUCAGGGCUGCCUCAGCAUGUCACAGGAGGCAGGUAAUGUCAUCUUGUAAACACCAGCGAUGAGCAUGAGCCGAGACCCCCAGCAGCAGAGGAUAUAAACCGUCCUCCUGAAGCAGGAUUUAAUUACAUUCUCCGUCAGGAAAGGAAGUUGGAUUUGCUUCAGUGGAAUUGCAUUUUCUGCAUUUGGGUGAUUUGUUUAUCCUAUAAAACCAUUUCCCAGUACCACUACUGGAAUGCUGGCAACUAGAAACCUGCGUGGCUCACUCUUUAGACUGAAGGACACUCCUGUCCCCGUGUUUACAUUUCUACCUUUCACAGCCUGGCAUUCCGAGAGGCCUUUGUGAAAACAGCGCAGAGUCCUCGGGGGAAAGUGCUCAAGAUUAGUGCUAUAAAUUCUCCUCCACGGCUCUGCUACUUCAUGUUCUAUAAUAUUCCUGAAUUCCUGCAUUUCUGAGGUCAAGGGUCCUGUCUUGUUGUCCAGUGUCUCAUACUGAACAAAAUUCUCAUCUGACUCCUUUGCCCUAUUAUGUUUGGGGUGCCGGGCUGGUUCUCUGAUGAUCUCAGUCACAGCCUCUCCAUCUUUUUCAAAAACAGCAAUUUGUGGAUGAGUUGUGUGCUGGCGGUAUUUUCUUUAAACAGUUCUCUAUGUUAAAAAUGUUGCCAAUCAGAAUAUCUUCAGAUAUAACAAAUGUUAAAGUACACAAGAAGUCCUCGGUUCAGGGCUUCAAGGAACUCACCUGGAUGCAAAUCAAAGAAUCAGUUGUCAGCUUGGACAAAGCCAAGAGGUAAAGAAGUGGACAAUUUGGAUCUAGUCCUUAAGGAAUAACCAUAUGGAUUAUUUCAUGCUCAAAUGUACCCCAUUUCUAUAGCACUUGGGAAAUAUAUGAGUGUAAAUGAAUAUUUAACAACUCAUCGUUGGGAAUUUCUGAAUAUCCUCAAAUUGUAGAGAUUCCAGCCAUGGGGCUACAGACCCAAGCUAUGAAUACGUGUGUUUAGAAAAGAGAGCCUUUCUGCCCUAGUCCCAGCCAUUGUUUCUGGUGGAUGCAGCAACAUCCUCCUACCCCCUCUCCCUGAUUCUGUCUUUUGCCACCUUUAGCACAUUCCAGUGGUGCUCAAGCAGAAUGACUUUGCCCCCCAUUUGGCAAUGUCUGGAGACAGUUUUUGUUGUCAUAACUAGGGGGUAGGGGGUGACAUUAUAGCUUUAUUAGGGAGAAGCCAGGGGUGCUGGUAAACAUCCUACAAUGCAGAGGAAUCUCUGUUACAACAAGGAAUCAUCCAGUCCAAAAUGUCAGUUGUGCAGAGAAACCCUGGUGUAUUCCCACACUGCAGCAGGAACAAUCCUUUUAACAUUUACAGCAGAUAAUGUUACUCCUCUGG